UAGAGUUUGAUCAUGGCUCAGAUUGAACGCUGGCGGAAUGCUUUACACAUGCAAGUCGAGCGGCAGCGCGGGGCAACNNNGGGGCGAGCGGCGAACGGGUGAGUAAUACAUCGGAACGUACCCAGUUGUGGGGGAUAGCCCGGCGAAAGCCGGAUUAAUACCGCAUACGACCUGAGGGUGAAAGCGGGGGAUCGCAAGACCUCGCGCAGUUGGAGCGGCCGAUGGCGGAUUAGCUAGUUGGUGAGGUAAUGGCUCACCAAGGCGACGAUCCGUAGCUGGUCUGAGAGGACGACCAGCCACACUGGAACUGAGACACGGUCCAGACUCCUACGGGAGGCAGCAGUGGGGAAUUUUGGACAAUGGGGGAAACCCUGAUCCAGCCAUUCCGCGUGAGUGAAGAAGGCCUUCGGGUUGUAAAGCUCUUUCGGCAGGAACGAAACGGUCUUUUCUAAUACAAGAGGCUAAUGACGGUACCUGAAGAAGAAGCACCGGCUAACUACGUGCCAGCAGCCGCGGUAAUACGUAGGGUGCGAGCGUUAAUCGGAAUUACUGGGCGUAAAGCGUGCGCAGGCGGUUAUGUAAGACAGAUGUGAAAUCCCCGGGCUUAACCUGGGAACUGCGUUUGUGACUGCAUAACUUGAGUGUGGCAGAGGGGGGUGGAAUUCCACGUGUAGCAGUGAAAUGCGUAGAGAUGUGGAGGAACACCGAUGACGAAGGCAGCCCCCUGGGUCAACACUGACGCUCAUGCACGAAAGCGUGGGGAGCAAACAGGAUUAGAUACCCUGGUAGUCCACGCCCUAAACGAUGCGAACU
rnacentral:rRNA from 1 species